GACGAACGCUGGCGGCGUGCUUAACACAUGCAAGUCGAACGGAAAGGCCCUGCUUUUGUGGGGUGCUCGAGUGGCGAACGGGUGAGUAACACGUGAGUAACCUGCCCUUGACUUUGGGAUAACUUCAGGAAACUGGGGCUAAUACCGGAUAGGAGCUCCUGCUGCAUGGUGGGGGUUGGAAAGUUUCGGCGGUUGGGGAUGGACUCGCGGCUUAUCAGCUUGUUGGUGGGGUAGUGGCUUACCAAGGCUUUGACGGGUAGCCGGCCUGAGAGGGUGACCGGCCACAUUGGGACUGGGAUACGGCCCAGACUCCUACGGGAGGCAGGAGUGGGGAAUAUUGCACAAUGGGCGGAAGCCUGAUGCAGCAACGCCGGGUGCGGGAAGACGGCCUUCGGGUUGUAAACCGCUUUCGCCUGUGACGAAGCGUGAGGGACGGUAAUGGGUAAAGAAGCACCGGCUAACUACGU
rnacentral:rRNA from 1 species